rnacentral:ncRNA from 1 species
AGGGGGGGACGACCCCCCCCCCUUAAAAAGUUGAAAGGGGGACGUGUACCCCC